GCAGGUUUAUGGCAUACUAUUGGCUGUGGAGCACUUCAAAAGUGAAGUCUGUCAAUGGUGAAGCAUUCUAACUGG
rnacentral:lncRNA from 1 species